GGGAUCAUUACCAGAGUGCCUUUUGGCUCUCCAACCCACUGUGAACAUACCUACGUUUCCCUCGGCGGGCUCAGCGCGCGGCGGUACUCCCGCCUCGCGUCCGCCGGGGGCCCCCAAACUCGAAUUUACUACGUGUAUCUCUGAGGGGCGAAAGCCCGUAAAACAAAAUGAAUCAAAACUUUCAACAACGGAUCUCUUGGCUCUGGCAUCGAUGAAGAACGCAGCGAAAUGCGAUAAGUAAUGUGAAUUGCAGAAUUCAGUGAAUCAUCGAAUCUUUGAACGCACAUUGCGCCCGCCGGCACUCCGGCGGGCAUGCCUGUCCGAGCGUCAUUUCAACCCUCGGGCCCACCCUUCGCGGGGAUCGGGCCCGGCGUUGGGGACCGGAGGCCGCCUCGGCGGCACCCGCCCCCUAAAUUCAGUGGCGGUCGCGCCGCAGCCUCCCCUGCGUAGUAGCACACCUCGCACCGGAGAGCGGCACGGCCACGCCUCGAAACCCCCCAAUUUAUCAAGGUUGACCUCGGAUCAGGUAGGAAUACCCGCUGAACUUAAGC
rnacentral:misc_RNA from 1 species